UACGUAGGGGGCAAGCGUUGUCCGGAUUUAUUGGGCGUAAAGAGCGUGUAGGCGGCCAGGUAGGUCAGCUGUGAAAACUCGAGGCUCAACCUCGAGACGUCGGUUGAAACCACCUGGCUAGAGUCCGGAAGAGGAGAGUGGAAUUCCUGGUGUAGCGGUGAAAUGCGCAGAUAUCAGGAAGAACACCCGUGGCGAAGGCGGUUCUCUGGGACGGUACUGACGCUGAGACGCGAAAGCGUGGGGAGCGAACAGG
rnacentral:rRNA from 1 species